rnacentral:lncRNA from 1 species
UGAUCACAGAGGUCCACACGCUACGUUUUACCGACCCUAAAGCCCAGCAAGGUGCAGGUUUGUUUUUUUCCCUGCCAUGCUAAGUCAAGUUACACCAUCCAAACUACAUUUCCAUGAGCUGGGACCCUGCAGCAAGUGGAAGCGACCUCAAGGCCACCCUCCACCUCCUUAGUUCAACACUGGUGAAAGAACUGCUCAGAUCUAAUUUGAGAUAGGAUUUUCCUUGUGACUGCGGUCUCCUUUGGGAAUGGCCACAUGAAUUAUUUCAAAGACCGGGUGUGAAGUUUGGAUGGUCCA